UACGUAGGGUGCAAGCGUUGUCCGGAAUUAUUGGGCGUAAAGAGCUCGUAGGCGGCUUGUUGCGUCGGCUGUGAAAACCCAUGGCUCAACCGUGGGCUUGCAGCCGAUACGGGCAGGCUAGAGUUCGGUAGGGGAGACUGGAAUUCCAGGUGUAGCGGUGAAAUGCGUAGAUAUCUGGAGGAACAUCGGUGGCGAAGGCGGCAUCCUGGACCGGUAUUGACGCUGAGGCGCGAAAGCCAGGGGAGCAAACGGG
rnacentral:rRNA from 1 species